GACCUUUUGUAGUUCAUAAGCAUUAUGCUUGGCUGUCCAGGGCAUUGUGUGACAUGUGACCCCCUCAAACCUUGCUCAAACCUGGGCACAAUCUUCCUUUUAAUG
rfam:Mustela putorius furo unplaced genomic scaffold scaffold00096, whole genome shotgun sequence.